rnacentral:lncRNA from 1 species
AAUUUUAUGCAAGUAUAUAUUGUAAUGUCUCAGAAUAACCGGACACUCAAUUUUCCAGGUGAGUCAGGUCAGCUGCUCCGAAAAGAAGUCUCCUGAGCUUCUCCUGCUCUAGCACGCCAGCGCCCUCAAAACGUUCCGAGAUCUGCAUACAGGCGGUGUCCAGCACCUUCAGCUCCAUCCAUCCGGAAAAAUAAUCGGGGUCCGGUCACUUUGUGGCCGGGUGCGUUGCCUGUGAGACGUUUUGGUUGGCAGAUCUGCCUUGGGACAGUGGGUGACUCAAACUCCAGCGGCGAUUCUUCAACAGCCUGCAGCGCGCGGCCGAUUGUCUCGUCAGCACACUCUCGCACAACCGCCAUGAAGUCACGAGUGGCUCUGGCGCCCUCUGAGAGAUCUGACACCGUGCAGGUUUUUCUUUGUAUGCGACGGCUCAAGUGGUCCAAUGGCGCCAGCAUCGUACGCGCCAUUACUAGCGACGCUGCGACACGUAUGUACAUGUUCCCCGACCUCAUCUGUUCUAGCAGGCCACCAACGCGCGUAGCCACGUGUCCGCGACCCUGCGACAUUUCUUCCCGAGUUUUGGCGAUUUCACCGUACAUUUCGAUCGUGGCUUCCAGCUUGGUUGUCCACCUUGUUGGGUAGAGUGGCCUAAGCUUCGCCAUGGGCGCCUCUGCUGUUCCAUCACAGACGGCCUGGAACUUUUUCCUUAAGUGCAUGGAGUCCUUGAAUAGAACACAGUUCAUUCACGUUCUGUAGGGACUUUGCGAUAGAUCUGGACGCCGCACACGCAUCGUGCACUACAAGAUUCGUGCACAGUGAACAAAGGCAGCCAAUUGCAAUGGCUGAACCUUCCUGUAGCCGCCGCCGACCUUUAGGGCCUCCGGAUCGUGCGCCGACCGGCAGAUAUCCUUUUUGUCCUAUUUGUAUGUUUUGUGUGUCUUUUCUUUGUCUGGUUUGUUAAAAUAAAUGAGUUGAGUUGAGUUGAGAUAAACGCGCUCGCUCCAUAGAUGCUGACUUUAUAUUCAAUCGCAGUAAACAGAGCGGAACAGAGCGAAACGGAUUCUGGAAUCGAAAAUAAACCAAACUUAACACAUGACCUAAUGAACACCAACUAAGCGAAUACACAGACGCAACGAAGCAAAGAUAACAUAAUCGGCAAAACAAUUUCACCAAUUUCAAAACUCCGAAGCUAAUAUCACUCACUCGCCUACACCUCCAAAACGCCUUUGCCCUCCAAAACGUCGAACGGCUGAACCAAGCCACCAAAUCAUUCAAAGCCAACCGUAGCAGCGGCACGCCAAAGCCGCCGCGAUAGACCAACCAAGAAUGGCGUUGCCCUCACCGGCCGCCCCUCCGCUGACCCGGAAGGUGACGUGGCAGGUCAGCCGGCGCCGGGUCACGUGACCGUACCUAGAGGUCACCGGUCAAUGCAUCGAACUAAAAUGCGAACAACUAAGCUCAAGUGUCAGAGCCCGUUGGAUCCCCGUUCUGAUACCCACCAAGCCGCUUGGUGUCAGCGGCUUGCCUCCAAAUGUCUAAAUUUCACCAUAGAAGCGCCUCAGUAGUGGGGCCAGCUCUUUGGCGGUAAUGACCUUGAGGUCAAUGUUCAGAUGACGUUUCUUGAGCCAUUCCCUCAGUCUAGUCAUUGCCCAUUGGGGGUAGCCUUGGCUGUGUUCCUUGGAUGAGCCUCUCGCUUCAGCUCAUCGAGCGCCUCGUCGUCCAUGACGACUGAGACGCUGCUGGUGAUUCAAUGUUCAUAAAUGUUGCAGAGCUGAAGGGUAAGGCGCUAAAACUAUAAGUUGAAGACCAUAGUGGCAAGCUGUGAGUUAACUGAGCCCAGGAACUGAGCCGACGACCUGCAAUGACCUUUCAAAUAUUUCAGUAAAAAAUUUCAGCACGGCGCGCGCGUGCCCCAAUUUAAAUUGGUGCACGGGCUCCAUCGAAUUCGCACCGCCUAUAUCACAUCAUAAAUAUAUCACGUCCUAAAGUAUGGUGCUUCAAAGGCAUCGUUUUCUUUUCAAUCUUUGUAACGUAUCCAACAAUAGCCUUACUGUACGCUUAGAUUUUGUCAUUAUUCAUAGCAAGGUAAAAUACGUCUGUCCGUUUCAAAUCCCGCCUACCUCUUGCCUACCUUACUCAAACGUGUACUCGCGGCUGGCCUUGGGCCUCAAGAGCCACGCCAGCCGGCAUUGGCGCGCGGUGACCCAACCUGACCUCGCCGGAGGGGUCGUGACGUCACAGGUAGGCCGGCCGCGAGCGAGACGGCUGAGGUUCACUCAACGCGGCCCGGGCGAGUGGAGCGGACCAGCGGCGGUCGCUGCCGAGCACGUUUUCCUCCACCCACCCCUCCAACCAUCUGCGUUGCUUUUUAAUUGUCUGUAAUUCCUUACCUUGUUGACCGUCUCUCUUUAAACGAUCGCCUGGAAGGAUAUCAGGGAAAGAGAGCGACGGCCGGCCGAUAGACAGCUAACACUUCAGUAGGUAGCAUACGAUGCCGACAGCGUUACAGGGUUAACAAAAGAUAACGCCAGUUAUCAGCACCUUAGGCAUAUAUAGUUAGCGCCUUGAAUCACCACUU